rnacentral:rRNA from 1 species
GACGAACGCUGGCGGCGUGCUUAACACAUGCAAGUCGAACGGAAAGGCCCUGCUUUUGUGGGGUGCUCGAGUGGCGAACGGGUGUGUAACACGUGAGUAUCCUGCCCUUGACUUUGGGAUAACUUCAGGCAACUGGGGCUAAUACCGACUAGGAGCUCCUGCUGCAUGGUGGGCGUUGGAAAGUUUCGGCGGUUGGGGAUGGACUCGCGGCUAAUCAGCUUGUUGGUUGGGUAUUGGCUUACCAAGGCUUUGACGGAUAGCCGGCAUGGGAGGGUGACCGGGCACAAUGGGACUGAGGGACGCAGCAGAGGGGUACGUGAGGCAGUAGUGGAGAAUAUGGUACAAUGGGCGGAAGUGUGAGGAAGAGACGUUGCGAUCGGGAUGACGGUCUUCGGGGUGUAAAGCGCUGUCGCCUGUGACGAAGCGGGAGUGACGGUAAUGGGUAAAGAAGCACCGGCUAACUACGUG